rnacentral:lncRNA from 1 species
AGAAAGCGAUAAAGUGUACCUUGAAAUGCCGACACUAAUUCUUAUCAUCACCACUCGAAGUAUCCUAUGCUUCUUUCUUUGCGAACAAUUCUUGGUUGCUUUAGGCUUGACUUAAGCGUAAGAACAAUUAAAUAGAACUGUUGGUAAACCAAUUUGAUUAAAAACACACUUAAAUUUCAAAAAGUACUCAUGCAAUUAUAAAAAUACUAAAGAAAAAUUAAAGUGCUAAGAUAAAGUCAUGGUGAACUAGAGCCACCAAAAAGUACAUUACAAAAUUCCCAAAAACAAAAACAGAAUUAGUAAAAAGAAACUCAAACAAACAAUACUCUCAAAACUCCACAAAUUCAAUCCUCCUCCUCUUCAUCACCACCUACACUUCCGAGAACAUCUUCCAUCUCCUCAUUUGGGUCAGCACUACCUCCU